UUUAUUAGCAGGGAAAAAAAGCAGGAAGGUGAGACAAUGGCUCCAUGUAAGACGCCGCCAGGUAAACACUACUGGGGGAUGGGGAGAUUAAGAGACAGUGCCUGAUCUAUUCUAGCCAAGUUACACAGCUUGUUUUUCAGAUGCAGGGGACCAACAGAUGAAAAUGACUAUAAAUAUUUACAGUAUUCAGAGGGGAGGCUGUUGUUUGGGAGCUGGUCGUGGCAAACAGACUGACAGACACAAACACCCAUGUAGGGUCUAAAAGAACUAGGCUUUCCAAGGUUUCCAGGAGGAUGGUAAGCCUCAGGUUACAUUAAGUGAACAUGUUGUGAGAUAAAAAUUGCUUCUCAGAAGGAGGUGUCUGUCUGAACCGCUAUGAAGGGUCUGCUUUUACUUCUUGUCGGAGCUCCUGAAAUCCUGUCUGCAGCCCUGGUUGGGAGUAGGAGCUGGUGAGUUUCUGCCUUGAGACUCCAUGCUGGAAGAAGUUGGUGUGACACCGCCUUGCUGAGCUUGUGUACUGGCAGGAGGAGGAGCCAGAGAGCUGUCACCAUGCUGAACUGGUGUGGGAGGAGCCGCCUGAUGGUUUUCAGAUGAAGUUUUUUUCUCUCUGCUUGGGACUCAGUAGUGAAGUACUUGUAGAUCUGAAUUGUGGCCUGGAUUUUGAUGUUUGUUUGUUUGUUCUUUUUUUAAAUUUGCUCCCUGCAGUGCCAUCAGAAUAAAUUGGUUAUUGGUCUGUG